CCCGAUUACGGGUAAACAUUCACGGAGAGUUUGAUCCUGGCUCAGGACGAACGCUGGCGGCGUGCUUAACACAUGCAAGUCGAACGAUGAAGCCCUUCGGGGUGGAUUAGUGGCGAACGGGUGAGUAACACGUGGGCAAUCUGCCCUUCACUCUGGGACAAGCCCUGGAAACGGGGUCUAAUACCGGAUAACACCGGCUUCCGCAUGGGAGCUGGUUGAAAGCUCCGGCGGUGAAGGAUGAGCCCGCGGCCUAUCAGCUUGUUGGUGGGGUAAUGGCCUACCAAGGCGACGACGGGUAGCCGGCCUGAGAGGGCGACCGGCCACACUGGGACUGAGACACGGCCCAGACUCCUACGGGAGGCAGCAGUGGGGAAUAUUGCACAAUGGGCGAAAGUCUGAUGCAGCGACGCCG
rnacentral:rRNA from 1 species